GCUCAAACUGCACGUCAACUGCUCACACCUUUGCCCGUGGUCUUUCCAUCUACCUGGGGCCUGCAUUGCUGUCUGGUGCGCUCCUGCCUGUCUCCCAGGUGACGCCUACAUCUCCUUCAAACAGAGGCCCCCUCAGCCUCGCAGCUCAGACCCAGGGCAGGCGCUUCUCCUUGUGUUCACAGUGACACUGGUUUUCAGCAGAAGCUCCACGUGGAAUCAGAUGACACAGGAGAAAUGGAAGAGACUGCAAAUCCUGACAUCCCACCCCCUGGCCACACACCACCUCAAGAAAACCAGAACACGGCGACAUAAUUGACUCCAGGCAACAAGUGCAACUAUUUCUGAGUACAUCUGUGAAGGUGUCUCGAGAAGAAAUAGCACCUGAAUCAACAGACUCGUGAAGAAGAGUGUUGAUCCACCAAUGAGAGUGGGCAUUGUCCAAGCCACUCAGGAUCUAGGUAGACCAGAUAGCCAGGGGCAGAGGCUAUUCGCCCCCUCUCCUGGAGCUCUCACCUCUAUACAUCAGAACUCUAGGACUUAAGGCAUUUGGAUUUGAUUUUACUCAGCAGCCCCUAAGGAUUUCAAGCCUUAGUUACACUGCCCACUAAAAUAGUUCUCUGGGUUAAUGAAGGAAGAUGAUGACCUUCAAUUAUAUUGGCCAACUCCCAUAAUAAAUCUCAG
rnacentral:lncRNA from 1 species